rnacentral:lncRNA from 1 species
GGUGUGCUGGGGUAUUUGCUGCCCUGGGAGGCACAGCAGGAGGGAAUGGAAUGGCCCAUCCUGCCCCUCGUGUGCCUGUAUGCAGCCCUGCUCUGAGGUCCCAGCAGAGCACAGCCCUGAAUCAACUGCCAAAACUGCUUCCUUUAACUUUUAGCUGCAGUGUGGGACGGACCACGUUUGCAAAACAGAGCUUGGCGCGCCUGCAUAACUCACUGCUGUGGAAGGAGUUGUCGGGAUGAUGUAUUGAAACGCAGCCAUCUCCAUUAUGGCAUGCCACGUGUUUUCUGGGCUGAAGGGAGAACAGCUGCUACUCCCAGAUUGCGCCUGGAUCCCUCAGAGAAAGCAAAGCACAGUCUGUGGUCAGAGCAACCCAAAACGUUCAGAAGUGAAUGAAGGUUUGCUUGAAAUCUCUGCAUCUACAAAUCCUGCCUUCCAUCCCCGAGGUGCUGUCUGCCUCUCAGAUGUCUGCAGCUGGGUGAGCAGCAGUUUCCCGUGGCUGUGUGCGGUGCCAGAAGAUGGAAAUGCUUCUGAAAAUGAAGCAAUUAGUUGCCACGGCUCUCAGUGCUGGGGAGGAUUUUAGCAACUUGACCCUUUGAAGUUUGGACCUGGAGAUAAGUCAGGUUUAUUCUGUCAUCCAGACAAAAUGCUGCUUAUCCAGUGCUUUCAUCUCGAAGCAGGUGGUGCUGCAGAGGAGGGUCAGAAUUUGCACUGAUCCUGCAUCCUUCCCACUCACUGCUGCUGGGACAUCCUGACUGACAGCGUGAAGAAGAACAGCUCAGUCCAGGUAUGCACAGCCACAUAUGAACGUGUUUCCUUCAUUAUUGAGCACCCGUCUGCUUAGACUCCAACUGUGCAACAUGCAGAGCUCACAAUAUUGAAUAGUGUUUGGUGAACACAGCAAUGGGCUGCAGCCUUGUUUGGAGGCUGUGCAUAGUUGGAAGCUUUUCUUCAUGAG